rnacentral:ncRNA from 1 species
UUAAAUUCUAUGAAUGGAAAUAGUAGGUAGUGCAUGAAGUUAUAGAGAGUCGGGGAUGGUGGAAUCCUGACACGGAUUGCUUACUGAAUGGUUCCAUGAGAAGCAGUGGGAAAUCCUUAUUUGGAGAGUAUCACUUGCCGUUUGUCUUACGUUACAAAGACAGGGUAUCGAAAUAGAGAUAUGUCUAUUUCUGUACCUGGAAGAGUGAGAUAGUAUUAAUACUGUCUAAAGUAGGUGGCAACGCGGAAUGUGAGCAUUUCGUCCUAUAU